CCUAGUCAAAACCCCAGUUGCUUUUCCCUUUCUCUUCUUUUUUCACUGACGGUGGCGGCGGCGGCGGGAGAAGCUUUCGUGUGGGUCAGCUGGCGCGCCUGCCCGCCGGCGAGCGACGGUGAGCUGUGCCGCCAGCCCUUCUCCUCCCCCCGUGCCUCCUCUCUCUUUCUCGGUGGAAGCAAGAGCCCCCGUCCGGCGUGGUGUGGCAUUUUCACGGCGGCGGCCUUGGCCUCUUGCCGGCGCACGCGUGCACCCAAAGGUACGCGCAUCGCCUUCAAGCGGUCAACUACGCCGCCCUUUUCCUGGCGUGGACCCACCUUGACGGCGACCGGUGGCAGCUGCAGGCACCACCACACGGGUAAGAACGUUCUUUUCUCUUUUAGGGUUAGGGUUUGCCUCUUUUUGAUUUCUUUCUUUUUCUUCUUUCUUUUUGUAGCCCGACGAGAUCUACGACCUAGAGAUGGCUCUGAUACCAUUGUUGAAUCUCUACGAAACGACUAGGUGUAGAUCGGCACGGGUAGAUAGGAAUUGCUGUGAAUAAUCUUGGUCCGGGAUUGAGAAAGAGAGAGAAUUACCUUCUCCUUGCGAUGACGAGGCUGACGAGGUAGACAUCGGGAUGAGAGCGACGGUGAACGGCUGAGCUGCUGGCGAGGCUUCCCGUUACCGCUGCGCUGACCUAGAUCGGGAGGGUUUUCGGUGGGGUGUGCGGCACGGCGACCAACCUCGUGUUGCUUGCCGCCGGCCCUCCACCUUUUUAUAUAGCGCAGUGUAACAGGGGCCUGCCAACCAAAGUGGGUUGGGCGCCCCCGAUCAGGGCGCGUCAAAUCUAGGCCCGGUGGGCUGUUGGGCCCACACGGCUGGGAGAUCACUCUAACACCAAG
rnacentral:lncRNA from 1 species